UUGAAUGGUUUUAUUUUUUUUUAAUCACUUUGAGUCGAUUAAUCGUUUCAGCUCUAAAUAAUAAUAAUCAUCAUAACAAUAAGAAUAAUAAAUGUCCCAUAAUUGCAUCAUAUUGGAAUAAUGCUCCAGCUGUACCACCCUUCAUAGGAAAAACCAGAAACCAUGUGAAAUGAUUUGGAAGUGAGUCAGACUUUCAUCGAACUUGCACGAGUCACACGAUCACACACACACACACACACACACACACACACACACACACACACCAGUACAAACGGUGUAAAGGCCCCUCCCUGUGUGUGACAUUACAUUAGUGACACAGUGACACACAUUAACACAAACACAGGCGCUUCCAUCGUCACAUUAUUGGUUGAACGUGCUGUAUUGUUAUGUGUGUCAGCGGAUCACAGUGUGGUGCAGUUCAGCUCCACCUGCACAAGCAUAAGGAGCAUAUUUUCAACUUCAUUCACCAGUUUGUGUUUCUCAAAGUCAAGGACGCUGCCUUCGGUUACUUAGAAACUAAACCGAACUCUUUACUGUCGUUCAGAGAACUCCUAACGGGCAUGGGCAAGCGCUUACGGAGGGUAAAAAAAAAAUGUUCAGAUGAUGAUGAGUAGUUCAGUUUUAUUUGUAGAGCCCUAUAUCACAACAAGGCUGCCUCACAGGGCUUUACGGAAUUAGACGGAUAUGAAAACAAACGACAGUCAAAUAAACGGCAGAUGAAGGGAAUGGAUUAAUGUCCCGGUGCAUCCCCCGUCCUUAGACCCUCCUUCUCGGCAAAGAAAAAACUCCAAAAAC